CAGUUCUUUACUUCAAAGUCAGAAAGCAUCAGUUAGCGUAUGCAGGUACAGAUAAUUAAGUUGGCCACAUUAUAUUCUCAGGUAUUCCAGUAAAAUCAUAACAACUUUACUCAUUUCAACAUCUGUAUUCGACUCUUGCAUACUGUAAAAGAGAAUUUGAGGACUGCACAUGUGUUGGAGAUGCAGAUUCGUUAGUGUUAGAAAAUGACAUCAGUACAAGUGUCAGAAAAUGGCUUCCUCAUUUGCGAAGCCUACCUUGCCAGGAAGAUAUUUACUUUAAACAAAACCCAAACUUGGAGCCAAAGAUUUCUCAUGAUCAAAUCUGUUGGCUUGAAAGGCACACAAAGUUCUCUUCCUCCUACCACUUGCCCACUAUAUGUGAGACUCACAUAUCAGAAAAGAUUGCUCAGUACCAUAAGUUUUUUUCAUUAAAAUUAACCUUUGCAAGCUCAAUCACUUUUCUGUCAAGUUCCCGUUUGCUGUAAUAAUUAGAUUUCUGAAGGCUGAGUUGUGCUGAGGAGACAAAAAGAUUGCAGUGGGCAUUUAGUCACUCCAGCCAGAAAGCUGACAUGCGUAUUGAGUGAGCACCUGAUGAGUGCUACAGAAUGACAACAAAGGAACUCUCCUCUGUGGAUGUCCAGCCUUCCUGGCUCACAGGCAAAAGUAUGGCCACUGUCCUUCCUUGUCUUCAGUUCUGGCGUGACAUACACAUCAAUUGCUCCAGAAAAGUUUUUAAGAAGGCUAUAUGUAAGAAACACUGGAGAAUAUGCACGCUACAGAUGAGAAGUAUGCAUUCCUUUCAGUGUUACACUUCUAAGCAGGUCCUUCAGCAAGCCAGCCUUGUAAAAGUAAUUUUGCAUCUUCUUUGGAGAGAAAGAGUAAAUCUUCUGCAGUCUGCCUCUUCAAAUGCAGUUUGAAUAUGAGUCUGAAGACUGUUCAAGUUGCCCCCAUGAGGAGUCGAAAAAGCUUGUUAAGAAGAACUGGGAAUCUGAUGCUAUGAGAAGGGCAGAUUUUACAUCCAAGGAAGGAAGAUGCCAGUUGCCAAUAGUCCAAGUUUCCCAAGAAGUCCUAAAGACAGGCCUCAGCUUCCCAGGAAACAUACAUUUUAAAUUCUCUCAACCAGCCAUAUUCUUGUAGGUGAAGAAAGCAUUCACUUGAAACAACAAGGUAUGUUAAUGAUUAUUGUAUAAAUUAAACAAAUAAUGACAUUCUAAGAGCUUAGAAGCUUAACUCUCAGUUACAUUAAAAGGUUACAUUUAGAAAUAUUGCAAGGUAAUCGGAAGCGAUAAGAAUGCUUGCCAUCUGUUUGAAAACAUAGCGCAUAGUUUAGCAGAUCGGGUUCCAAGCAUUUCUAUUGUCGUGAACCAACACUCUGAUAAUACUAUUGAUUUCCAUAAUAUUCCUGAGAUAUUUCUGACAUACUGGUCAGUGCUGUACUAAAUAGCCAAGGACAAAGCUUAUGAGGAAGACAGACGCACAUCUAGUGAGCCUUGUGCUCUGGCUUCCCAACUACUGCAGAUAAUGGCAGGUAUACGACCUUAGGCCUUCGCAGUCUGCCAAAACAUCAAAACACUGGAAAAGUUUCAUUUGUUUAAAAUCAUACUGCAAACGAAGACAGUUAAUGUGUGGAUGACAUUUACUGUAAACACACUGUUUGUAGCAGAAAGAUGUUAUUUUGAAAAAUACUUGUUCCAACCAUGAAAGCAAAAGGCAAUAUACGGACUUUGAGUUUGCUACUGAAAAGGGGAUAUCUGAAAUGGCAAGCUUUUUCUUGCUCUAUUCUCUUUACCAUAUUUUAUCUCACCAGAAGUUACAUCAAUGGCUACGCUCACCGUAUCUCCACAAAAUUUCUUUUCAGUUCUUUAACUUUAUAUUCCUAUGCUUAGAUUUAUUUCUGAUAAUUUCAGCAUUUUUAGAUACUGCACUUGAAGAUUAUUUUUUAAAACUGCUGUUUUUGUCAAUCAGCAGUUAUUGCUUCUGACUCGCAAAUGUCAGACAUAUUUGAACUCCCACAUUUUCUUUAAAAAAAACAGUUUUGAAGUAUUGUUAAAAAUAAUUACUGUCAUCUCACAUUCAACAACAGAUUCAACUUUACAAUAAAAUAGAUUUUUCAUACUUUUCUUAACAUCCACAUCAGUCAUAACAAGUGUUCUAGGUACUGAAGGCAGAGAUUCUUCUGGCCCUAGUACCAGUUGAGAUGCUCACUUUUGUUCAAAAAAAAAAAAAAGGCUAGGCAAAGUUUAUGUCUGUCCUUGUAAUGCAAGGCUUAGUUACACAUUCAGACUGAAUGUGGUACAGUUCUUUAAAAGGGUAAUGAAUGCAAGGUUUAAAGAGCUCCUUCCCUGACAAGGGAACCUCAGCAGAAGUUUUCCCACGUGGGUCACACCAAAGCAAAGCAGUGCCCAGCUUCUGCUCUAGCCCUGAGGCCACACAACAUCAUGCAGAGGGAGAUUUUCAAAUGAUGGAUAGGGAGUGGAGCUCCAGUGCCUAACUGAUGUUUAUACCUAUUGGGGAAAAAAUCCCCAUGCAGUCAGUAUUGUCGACAGCCCUGCUCAAAUUUCUCUUCUCACAACAGCAAAAAUGCUGCUGAAUGGAAUCCUGCCUGGCUGAACUGAUGGGAAAGAAAACUGAGGCAGCCCCGCAGUGUGCCAGCAAUGAUCCACUCUGACCUACUAACAAUCCAAACUAAAGGUGGUAACCUCCUGCUAGUGGGCUGUUUCUACAAAGCAUACCCUAUGCUUUGCUGCUUAGAGUGAUGAUUCCUUGGCUGGUCUGCAGAACUGCUGCUGUGCUGCUGUGGAUCAGCACUCAGCACCUUUGGAAGCUGUGCCUGUGGAAGUCAUCCUGAGGAUCAGUUACUCCCAGGAGAAUUAAUUCAGGAUUGGAUCCCGCUGUAUCCUGCAUACCCAUGGCUCCCAUCUUGGGACAUACUCAGUGACAUGUAGUAUUAAUAGGCCUGAUGGUUUGCUCCUGGUCUUGAAGAAAUCAACUGCAUAACCUCAAAAGACUUGUACAGCGAAGAAUCAGGCUCUGCCUGGGAUGCAGAGGAGGCAAACAAGCAAACCUAUGAUAAUCUUUGCACUAAAGAUUGUUAAGUGCUACUGCGUAAUGUGAAAAUACACCGGAUUUUUUUUCAGGCUUCUAUAUGCAAUAAUUUUACACGGUGAAUACAAUAAUGAUGCCUAAUAGUAUGUCUCCAAAAUACUAUGUGAAAUACAUAAUGCUGCGAUCAACGGUGAAUAAAAGCACUGAAAUGACAACCUUUCAGUUCAAACAAAGCACAGUAUUAAAAUUCUGGUGGAUGAGUUUGGAAACAAAAAUUGUCAGCUUCUGACUGAUUUAGUCACCUCUCUGGCUGGGUGUCAAAAUAGGUCAAUAGAGCUCUCUUUCCACAACAGCUAGAAGUAAAUGGAAACUCUGCUCUGUUCCAGCCUAAAUCAGUAGCAAAGGAGGCAGUCCCACUGUCAUGUAGCUUUUCUAUUUGUUACAUGAUACUCGGUGAUGUUAAGUGACAGCUGACAGGUUUUCAGCAAACCAAAACACCCUUGUCCCCAGGGACUGCACCAGCCCUCGCACCUGAAAUGUUUUGGCCCCACCAUGUAGAACAUGGCAGCACCCCCAGUCCGGCUCAGCCAGGCGUGGUGAGGUCAGUCAGCAGGCAGGAGGGCAGGGAACAGAGGCAGAGUGGUAAUGGCAGCCUGACCACAACCCCAGCGACUUGGGCUCAGUUUCUAAUAGCAACAAUCUCAAAAGCCUCUCUGUGCACAGCUUCAUAAUUGAGUGUUAAAUAAGAGUGCUGUGCUGCGAGCAGUGCAUCCUCCCUUACAAAUUCUGACUUCAUUUUCAGACUUGGUAGCCUAUUAAGUACUUCAGUUUGAAAAUUUUUAACACUUAAGCAGGCACUGUGAAAUUAAGCCAUGGCCAGGCUUAAACACAGUGAUUUCCUUUGCCAAGUAUUGCUUGAGAUCACUGUGUUCCUACUGCUUGGAACUGCAUUUCCAUGCUAAUACAUUGCUAAGAGAUUUUCUAAAUGUCCCUCUAGCUUCAUCGAAAAGCUAUAACUAACUUAAGUAAUAAAUUACAAUCACAGGCUCUAUGCACAUAAAGAAAAGGUGGAAAUGGAAUGAAGGCCAAGAAAAGAAGUGUAACAACAUCUUAAAACUUGCAACAGACUUUUCCCAUAAGUGAAAAAUAAUCCUUUCAAAAAUACAGGUCUCUCAGUCACAGAGCAAAUCUGCAACAAAGCAAAGCCAUCGGGGAAACUGAAUGUUUUAUAGUUAAGAUAGAACUCAGACUUUAGUACCUGAACAGAAAGCAAUGCCCUGAAAAACCGAAAUGACCAUAUAUUAUUCGUUGUAACAUCUUCAAUGAUUAGGUGAGAUAUUAGGAGGACAUUUUUCACAGAGGGUGGUGACGCACUGGAACAGGUUGCCCAAGGAGGUUGUGGAUACCCCAUCCCUGGAGGCAUUGAAGGCCAGGCUGGAUGUGGCUCUGGGCAGCCUGGUCUGGUGGUUGGAGACCCUACACAUAGCAGGGGGGUUGAAACUCAAUGGUCCUUUUCAACCCAGGCUGUUCCGAUUCUAUGAUUCUAUGAUUACAAUUAGUACAAACACAUUUUCUGUACCUACAAGUCUCAGUAUGAAUGUUUAUACCAAUAUACCACAGAUUUGUAUCUUGUACAGAAAUACAAUAAACUACGAUUUUUGAAACAGUAUAGGAACAGGAAAGCAGGCAGCUGAAAAAGAGGUUGAUCUACUGUCUGAUUUAUAGCUACUGCUUCUGUGCAGUUAGAAUUAGAUAUGUAGAGAUACAUAGCGAGAUUUUAACAUCUUUAUGCACAAGCAAGCAGCUUCAUGAAUCCUGGAUCCUACUGCAUUACAAACGCUACCAGCUCUGCUCUCUGCUUGCUCUGGACAAACACGUUUCACUGCUGGGUGGUUCAGAGAGGGGUUAUGGCAAAGGUUACUUCUGCCACUGGAAUUCCUGGGAGGAGAGCUAUACCCAGGGUGCCCUACAGCGCCGUAUCCAAUUGCUCAGCUUAAACAACUGCUGUAGAUGAACCAGUGUGAGGAGGUGGAGCCAGUGUUAGGAAGGCACGCUGCUUCGACAAAGCUGGAGGUAAGAACAACAGCAGGAGGGACACAGACCAGCCUUGCAAUCAGAGUGCUUACAGAGAGACAGAGGACAGAAGAAUUUUGGGUCUGAGCUUUGCCAGACAGAUCCUCACUUUGCAUUUUGAAUCUGACACCCCAGGGGCUUUAUAUUUUCCCUGUGUCCAUCUGCUGACAGGAGGAGUUUCAGCUAGUGUUUGGGCUUGCAUUUUAGGGCAUGUGGAGAAACAAAUUAGCAGGUUACAGCAAAAUGUGCCGUAACUGCAUCAGUAGUCAAGGGAAGAGCCACCGAUGUCAUCUAUCUGGACUUCAGUAAGACCUUUGACACAGUCCCCCAUAACAUCCUUCUCUCCAAAUUGGAAGGAUAUGGAUUCGACAAGUGGACUGUUCAGUGGAUGAAAAACUGGUUACAAGAUUGUACCCAGAGAGUUGUGUUCAGUGGCUCGAUGUCUGGAUGGAGACCAGUGGCAAGUGGUGUCCCUCAGGAGUCAGUACUGGGACUAGUGCUCUUUAACAUCUUCAUCAAUGGCAUCAACAGUGGGAUCGAGUGUACUCUCAGCAAGGCUAUAGAUGAUACCAAGCUGUGUGAUGCAGUUGACACAUUCAAGGAACAGGAUGCCAGCCGGAGAAACCUAUGUAAGACCAAGCAGUGGGCCCAGGUGAACCUCAUGAGGUUCAAUAAAUUGAAGUGCAAGGUCUUGCACCUGCAUUAUGGCAAAUCCUACUAUGGGAACAAGCUGGGGGAUAUAAGGAUGGUGCACAACUCUGCCAAAAAGGACUUGAGGUGGAUGGCAAGCUGGACAUAAGCCAGCAAUGUACCCUUGCAGCGCAGAAAGCCAACCAUAUCCUGAGCUGCAUGUACAAUAAACAAAUGUACAGUUGGAAGAAUAGCACAGUUAGGAUGGUACUCCACAGGUGUAUAGUUGGAAAGAUUAUCAUGGUGGAAAAGAGACAGUCAAAGAAGAAAUGCUCACCCAUAUCCAAGAAUCCAGGCUCACAGUGGAAAACUCCAAAAAGGAGAGAUCUCCAGAAAGAGAUCCUUCCCCAGUGGAAGUCAGCCCUUAAAUUGGGUCUAGGAGAGGUGGAGCCAGGCUCCACCCCUUCCAGUCACUCAGGUGAAUUGCCUUCACUUGUGCUCCCACAGCUGACUCAGUCCUUUCCUCAGGUGCUCAAUCAGUGUUUCAGGCCGAACAGUUCCCAUCCACUCCACCCCUUCAUAGCAUGAACCAAUAAUCGAGCAAGCUAGAGGGUGAGCCUUCCCUAAUAGAGAUCCAGAGACACCACGAUGCUUAUACAAUUGCCUGUCGCCAUGCAGGUUGACACAAUUUAAGACGACUGAUGAUCAAUGUGUGGUUGAGGUUCAUGUUCUUUCAUGGGCCAGUGCUCAGUGGUGUUACUGGAAGUAUGCCAUCAUGUCGUGUAGGUCCAUCCUAUGUCACAUCAGUCCCACAUAGGCCAUCACCGGGUGUCGUGCUUGAUCUCACAGCAGCACUGGAACACUUCAAUGGUAUUUCGCUCCUUCUGUGAUCCUAGAGAUUCAAAUACUCACAGAGAGUAAUACAGAUGUUUCAGGGGUACCAGGAGGGGAAGAUCUGCCCUCCAGGGCAAGAUACAGGCCAUAUUCCUAUCCUGGGUCAACACUUCAGCUUGUACUGGGGCAUGCCCCAGCCGCCUCUACCAAACUCUUCGGCCAGAUGUCUGCAGCUGCAUAACUGUAUCAAAGGGGGUGUCCUGAUCUGACAUAGGGACAUGAUGGGGGGGUCCCUUUAGCAACGAAGAUUGGAGUGUUGACCACAAUAUCCAUAGGCCAUGUACCCAUUACCAGAGGGACUACCGAGCUUCCCACCUCCAGUAAUCUCCUCCAGGGUAGGAGGAGAUUGUGCAAGAAGGGCACACCACUUCGGUCCUACCUGUACCUACCAAGGCCAUUUUACUCUAUGGGUACCUGGUUGUAAAUUCUCAGGGGUAGGGACCAGAAGGUUAUUUUCAUUGCCAAUCUGGGGUUUUACCCAAUUAUCAGUGCCUGUAAUUUGGAUCCUAAGCGGGGAGGCCCAUGUUGUCUGUAGCAUUUUCAGGGCACUGGGUCUGCCAUCUUUAGGUCUUUCGUUCAGGUCCCACAGGGUUUCAUAGAGUCCCUUUGUCCACCCGUGCAGGGACUGUGAAUCUCUCUUCAGGGCAGCCUUAUGAAUACCGUUACGAUGUUCAAUGAGUCCUGCCCUCGUUGGAUUAUAUGGCAGGUGGAAUCACCAUCCAGUGUUGUUUUCUUCUGCCCAGUGUUGUAUCACGGUACCAGUAAAAUGAGUUCCUUGGUCACUCUCGAUGACUUGAGGUGUCCUGGAGGCAGACAGGAGCUCAGUAAGUGCUUGAUGGUAUAUGCCUGGUUUGCUCUUGGCACUGGAUAGGCCUGCAGUAGCCCACUUGCGGUAUCGAUGCAGGUCAGGGCAUAUCUCACCCCCUCAUACUGAGGGAGGGGCCCAAUAUAAUUGACCUGUCAUCGCUGGAGAGGAUUGUGUCCUCUAGCAAGAUGGGCUGUUGUUGCGGGCAGCAAUCUCAGUCUCAUCUUGGAGCAAGCGUCACAGUCUCAGCAUGCCUGGGUGAUGUCAGAUAGUUGCAUGGGCAACUCCCAUGCUUUAGCAGCUGCCCAUAUUGUCUUUUGUCCAGCAUGCCAUAGCUUCUGAUGUAAUCAAUGGGUGAUGUUCUCAGAUGGUGAAUCCUCAGUCCAUCAAACUUGGGUUGGUGUGUCCGCUUCGUCAUUUCCUGGUGAUUGUAAAGGUUGAUGACCAGAAACAUGUUAGACACAUACAGUCCUGUGUUUAACUGCAUUCCAUAUGUCUAACCACAUAUCUCUGCCCAAGAUUGGUCGGGCAUGGAUAGUCCAUUCUUGGGUGGCCCACUGUGCAAUCCAAAGAGUGAGCCCCCAGUACACGGCCCAACUAUCUGUGCAGAUAUUCAGGACACUAUCACCAGAUUCCUUAGUUAUAACCAUCCACACGGCUUGCAGUUAUGCCCAUUGGCUGCUCUGACCAUCCGUCUCUUCAAACCAGACUGUCUCAGUGGAGGGAUGGUAUGCUACUGCUCUCCACUAACUCAGGUUGCUCUUGCUGGACCCAUCUGUGUGCCAUGCAUCCUCAGGAAUGGGAUAUUUCCCCUCCUGAAUGGGACUCUUCUCUGGUGGAGCAACCAAUGUGUCUUUUGGUGCCUCACUGUGAUAUGUCACUGGGCCUACAAUCUUCUGGAGUUCUUUCAGUGGUGAUGAAGAUAGACUAUUCCUCUGGCUAAGAUAGGCGACCCAUCACACCACCAUUUAUGCUUGGCCACCCUCGUCUUAGGAAUGUGAGUCAGAUCUUUCAUCCACCCCUGAAUUGGCAGGGUGUUCUUAACUAUGGAUUUGUCAAUAAUCCUCACCCCAAGUUUUGGGGGAUGAUUAUGAAAUUUUUGAUCGUCCUUCAACUGCCUCCAUAGCUGGAGGAGGACAUGAUUGGGCUGGUGAUCAAUUUUCGCAAAUUGAACCCCAGCCCGGAUUAAGCCAUUAAACAUUUGUUAUCAGGAUACCCGUAUGGGUCCUGAUUGAGGAGUUCGUAGGGUGGGUCUCCUGGUUUUAGUUACUAGAAGGACCUCUGCCCCUUCCAAUGUUCAGAUACUGCACCUGGUCCAAAGGCGCUCUGUCUCCCCUAGAUCAGCUACCAGCUGGGCAGCCUGUUGAACCACGGACUCUGAGGCUACUAGGGAGUUUAGUAUGGAAACUAGAGUUCCAUACAGAUGGGAAGGAGCCUGUUGCAGGAUCAGGUCUCUCAUGCCUAUUGAGAAUUUUACCAGGUGUGGGCUUUGAAAUGCGUCUUUGUAUAUCACCUCUCUUAUACUCAGUUCGUGAAUAUAGUUUUGAAGGUCUUCUGUGAAGGACCAUAAACCUGUGUGUAAUAGUAUGUCAGAUUUAUUGGCCAAACCAUAUGGCAUGCUGCCAUCAACCAAUCUAUUAUCGAGUGAUUCUUGUUGGUAUACUGGACAGCAGCAUAUAGCCCCUAAGGGCAGGGUGAACAGUAAUAGAUGCCAAUUUACAGAUUUCUGACCCACUGACCGUAACACUUUCCAUCCAUGAAUCCCAUCAUCGGAGAAGCCAGGCUGGUACGCUUUCUCUGGGCUUCUGUCUGAAUCACUGUACCAAGUCCAUUAAUUCCAUGGCCAUAUAAGGACAGGCUAUUACAUGUAAAUGGAUUUGGGCAGGGGGCCACUGAUCAGGGGGCACCCCUGGUGAUCUAUCUUGUAUUUUGUUGUUGUUGUUUUUUGAGUUACUAUAGGACAGAUCUCAAAGGAAUCCAUCGCAGAUAGAGCUUUGAGAUCUGAUUUGGAAGCUUUGUCUUCUGGAUCCACUAGGUUGAUCAAUUCAGGAACCUGCGUAUCAUCUACUGAAAUGUUAUGGACCUGUUUUAUUGGGAAAUUUAGGCUUGAUUUUUUCCCCUGUCAGUAUACCAAGUUGUUGUUCAAGUUUCUCAAUCCGAUCUCAUAACAGUAGAUUUUCACUUUCUAAAGUAUUGGUUGUCAUUUCAGCCUGAUUUAAAGCAAUUAAUAGUGGCCAUGCCACAGUAGAAGCAGCUAGCUGAUGUUCUUUUGUAACUAAUAUCCCUUCGCUCAAUCCAUGAGAAUAAUCUGCCAUGUGGGUUGGGGAAGGAGUAUUUCUUGUAACCUGCAGGGGACUCCAUUUUUCAAUUAUAGUCACCAGUUCAUAGUAAGGUGAUCCCAGAAAUCCUCAGAUCUGUCUGGGAAUUGUUUUGUCUAGGAGGAAGUAAUGUUCUUCCCCGCUGAACAAUUUAAAGAUAUUCUAAAGGAAAUACUUUUUUGUUUUUUUGGCCUUCCUGGCUCACCAACUGUGUAUUUGGAAGAGUAGUGCAGUAAGGAUGGUACUUUACAGGUGUUACAGUUGGAAAAAGUAUCAUGGUAGAAAAGAGACAAUCAAAGAAGAAAUGCUCACCUGUAUCCAAGGAUCUAGGCUCACAAUAAAAAACUCCAAAUGGAGCAAUCUCCAGAAAGAGAUCCUUCCCCCAGUCAGCCCUUAAGUGGGGUCUAGGAGAGGUGGAGCCAGGCUCCACCCCUACUGGUCACACAGCUGAAUUGCCUUCACCUGUGCUCCCGCAGCUGACUCAGUCCUUUCCUCAGGUGAAAAAUCAGAGGUUCAGGAUGUGAUUCAAUUGUUCCCAUACAGUUGCAUCAAAGGAAACAUGAUCAGCAGGUUGAGGGAGGUGAUCCUGCUCCUCUACUCUGUGCUGGUGAGGCCUCUGUAUUAUGUCCAGAUGUGGGAUCCUCAGGACAGACAUAGACCUGAGGAAGUGCAUCCAGAGGAGGGCCAAAAAAAAUGAUCCAAGCAAUGAAACACCUUCCCUGUGAGAAUGGGCUGAGAGAGCUGGGGCUGUUCAGCCUGGAGAAGAGAAGGCUCUGAGGAGACUUGAUAAUGGCCUUUCAAUAUCUAAAAAGGGGCUAUAAGAAAGAAAAGGGCAGACUCUUUAGCAGGGUUUGUCGCGACAGGACAAAGGAAAAUGGUUUUAAAAUAAAGGAGAGAAAAUUUAGAUUGGAUAUAAGGAAAAAAUUUUUACAAUAAGAAUGUUGAGGCAUUGGAACAGAUCACUCAGAGAGGUGGUAGAAGUCCUGUUCCUGGAGACAUUCAAAAUCAGGCUGGACCAGGCUCUGAGAAACCUGAUCUAGCUGUGGGUGUCCCUGUUCAUUGCAGGGAAGCUGGACUAGAUAUAGAAUGAUAUAAUCAAAAGAUUAUAUGAUUCUAUAAGUCAAUGAAGAUAAGGAGGGAUUUGUAAAGUAAGUUUCAAAAAAAUCACAGUGUUUUGUAGAAUCAUGGUAGUUAAUAGUGUGAGGCAUUUAGAGAACUAUGGUUGCGAGCAUCUCAGAAAUACAAAAUAGCAUUCCAUAGGAAAUGCAGGGAAAAAGAAUGAAAAUUUGAAGCUAGCUCCACCCUGCAACAAUUUAAAACAUAGUUGAAUAUUUAAAAAAAAAGUUUAGGCCUAGACUGUUAUUUCUGUUAUAAAAGUCAAAUCUUUGGAGAUGGAGAUGAUUAAUAAAUAUACAAAAAUACAUCAUGUCUUUAAUAGCAAAAUGCAAUACAUUCUGUUUUGAAAGUGUGUAAAAAAAAACCCAGCAUAAUCAAAAUGCUUUUAAAUUAGGGCUUUUCUUCCACCUUUCUUACUUUCUUUUUCUUUCCUUUCUUUUUCCCCCCCUUUCUUCCCUUCUUUCUGUCUUUUUUUCAGAAUGAAGUUUCUUUAUCCUGAGAGUCUGACAUAGAAAGUUUUGUGUUUUUUUUUUUUUUUACAAAGUUUUUUUUUUUUAAUUGGAAGAUUUUCAACUGAUUCUACCCAGAAGGAAGUUAAUAAAUUUUCAGGGAAGUGCUUAUGUAUUGUGCCAUAAAUAAAGCUUGGGGGUAGAAUCUGAACUGUAAGCAUUGAACAAAUAACUGCUUAUUAAUUUUAAAGCAACCAUCUGAUGCAUUGAAUGGGGCACAAUUCUUUGGACAAAACAACGAACCUAUCCAUAAUUCUGAGAAGUGAACAACAUAAACACUGCAGAAUUAAUGACAGAAGUUUCUAACUUUUAUAAGAGCUUUUUUUUUCCCAUAACCUUAAAAUUAUUUUAAUAUUUUAAUAUAGGUCUUCUGCAUACACAUACAUGUAGGUCCUCUGGAAAGUGAUGCCUUCUAUUUAUUUCCAGAGUCCCAGGUGAACCUCAUGAAGUUCAACAAAUCCAAGUGCAAGGUCUUGCACAUGGGUCAUAGCAACCCCUGAUAUAAGUACAAGUUGGGGGAUGAAAGGAUAGAGUACAGCUCUGUUGAAAAUGACUUGGGAUAACAGUGGAGUCAUGGAAUUGCUCAGGUUGGAAAAGACCUUAAAGAUCAUCAAGUCCAACCACAACCUAACCAUACUACCUUAACUCUAACAACCCACUGCUAAAUCAUGUCCCUGAGCACCACAUCCAAAUGGGUUUUAAACGCAUCCAGGGAUGGUGACUUAACCACCCGGGGAGCCUAUUCCAGUGCUUAACAACCCUUUCUGUAAAGAAGUUUCUCCUGAUACGCAACCCAAACUUACCCUGGCACAACCCAGUCCUCAGUACAGGAGAGACAGGGACCUGUUGGAGCACAUCCAGAGGAGUUACCCACAGCACUCACUGCUUCUUCCUGCAUGACACAGGGUCCAUCAGCUCCAUUGUUUUUCUUGAAGCCAUGCACCCAGCUCCUUCUCAGCUUGGAGAACACUAAAUCUGGAGUGACCAGUUUACAGCCUUCAUCUUCUACAGACUUUUGAUUUAAGGCUUCACAUGGCACAGAGCUCACCUGCAUCUCCACUGCAACAGGAAGUUAAGAUCCCUGGAGCUGUAGGGCUCUGAUAGUACCUAUCCAUCUCUUGCUCAUCUACUUGAGUGCUCUGCAGACUGCUUACUUCCUCCUCUAACUUCUUUACCUGGCAACGUAACUCACCAACAACAGCAACACACCUUCUGUAGAAGAGAUGGCUCUCAGCCUCUACAAAGUGGCCCCAGGUGCUCCCUGCAACCUGGGAGCUGCAGAGCUUCCUCACUGUUUAGGUGGGAACUUCUGCCAUAUCUGACACAGCAACUCCAACAGCUGCUGGAGAAUGAGCUCCACAGUGUGUCAAAAAAACCUGAGGGACUGUAUGCCAGUAAGACUGAAUGAGACCUUCUUGUGCCCUUCUGCACAAACUGCUAUACAAAAUGUUGAGUCUGUUCACUGCACUCAGGUGGUCACAGAAUGGUCCCCAGUUACUGGGUUAUGUGUACCUCAAGUCUCUCACCAGACCAGCAGAACAGCCUCCUUCAGAGAUGUGGCCUCCCUGUGAGUCCUGCCAUGUGGAGACAUGGGACACAAAUCCACAGGAAACCAGGCUUUGUUAGCUCUGUACUUCUGAAACAGCAUGUUGCCUGUCUACUUAAGGCCACUGCACAGCCAAAGAUGUAUGGGAAAGGAAACUGGAAUUUUAUUCCCUGAUAUACCAUAUUUAUCUGCCUUCCUUCUAUUCUGCUAUUCAUAAUGGCUUCUUACCAGUUGUCUGAACUUGAAAGUACUCAUCUCUAGUUCCCAAGAUUACCCUUAGACUUCUUUGAAAUAAAUAUUAUCCCACAUAAGCAAAGACAUUUCCUGUCUCAGUUGGAAACAGAUGUCCACCAUUCAUUUCUAGAGUGAAGGAGGAUAUAAGUGCAUGUAUUGAGAAGCGUUAUUUAAAUUUUAAUAUUGUUUACAAAUCUGAGUUUACAAUCAACUCAGCAAAAGCAGAUCCAUUAAAAAUAAAUAAACAAAAACCCAACAUGACUGUACGUGGCAUGGCGAGAAGAAGAGUAUGGAUUUGGAUAUUUACCACAUUAAUGUGUAAUCACAAAGCACAUUGUGAUGAAGGAUACCUUUCUGUAUGUUGCUUCUAAGAGGCAUCGUGGAGGAGAAAGUUAAUAAAAAAUUCAAUUAAAGUGUUGUGCAGCAGUAAUAGUCUCAAAACAAUGUAUUUUGAGGAGUCCCAUAUGAAUAUUUUACAUAUAAUUCACCUAUUGGUGGUCAUAUCUUUUCAUAAAGUGGUUUCGUAAAGUCUUGUAUGCAUUUUACUUGUGUUUUAUAUAUGGUUAGUAUGCUUAGCUAGUUCUAACACCUCAUUAUUCUGAUAAUUACAAUAGAUUUAGGAGUGAUAAAAUUCUUUCCUUCCAUUACAACUGUUUUUUUUUUAAGCAGAAAAAUAGCUCCUUUAAGUUUUUUCUAGUUGACUUAUAUGUAAAAGAGGAGAACUAUUCCUAAAUCCUUAUUGAAUUGUUUGCUCUCUAAUACUUUGACACUGAGCUCCAUCAUUUGUGUGGCCUGUUCUUGGAUGUAAAAAUACUGCUGUUCCUGUGAAGUAGAGACAGCUCAAGCCCGUUUUCCUGCGCUAAGCAAAUCCUCUGUCUGCCACAUUUUGUCAUGAGUAAAAUAACGUUGACGUUAGUUGUUAACACACUGGCUGAUCUCAAGAUGGCAUGUAGAAAGUGGGAAAUUUCUUUUUACAAUAACGAUGACAGCCAUAUAUUGAUUUAAUCAGAGUACCUUUGGUCUCUGUAAUAGUCAUGCCAUGUGAGAAACUGGCUCCAUUAAUGAUCCAAGAACUCUUAUAAAAUCUCUAUCAAAUUCUACUUUUUUCUACCACGAUGCCAUAAGAUUUUUGAACAGGCUUGGUUUCUCCAGUGUAAAUAAGAGAAGGUUGAAUUAGCAAAACAUUUUACAUAUUACAUGAUGUGUGAAGAAUUAACAGAGGCAGCUCAUCAUAGCCAACUACCUGAAAGAGUGCAUAUUUUAUGCUAACUUCUAACUUUCAGCAAAUAGCACAGAAUCUGCAUGGAUUGAAGCUCCCAGGUGAAACCGGGGCAUGUCUGCCAUGCGAGCAGUUUCACUUAUCCCUGUAUCUCUCAUACCUAACUGCAGAGUUUUAGGUCAGAUGGUGUCUCAGGACAGGGGCACAAUAAUACUGAAAGAUGUUAAUUAUGUCGCUAUGGUCUGGAUAAAUCAUGCUUUGAAGAGUGAUGCGGAGACUGAUUUUUUAGCUCUAACAUUAAUGAGAGUAGCAAAUGGCAGCUAGUAAGGAAAUAUUGGCUGUAGGUUUUGAUCUGCACGCAGCUCCUGUUUCAAAGUACCCAUGUCCAAGAGCUACUUUAUACCUGUAACUAAAAGGCACAAAAUUACUGCAGGCACAAUAAAAGUAACUGUAGGGCAAAUAGGUAUACAGGUAUUGGACCAUACAGAUUACCACAUUACAAAGGAGAAAUGAAAUAAAGAUCUCACCCGUGUCCUGGGCUCACAGAAGGGCUCCAAGAAGAAGGAUCUCCAGAGAGAGAUCCUUCCUCCCUGGGAGUCAGCCCUUAAAUGGGGUCUAGGAGAGGUGGAGCCAGGCUCCACCCCUUCUGGUCACACAGGUGAAAUUGUGUUCACCUGUGCCCCUGCGGCUGACUCAGCACUCGCCUCAGGUGGUCAAUCAGAGGUUCAGGCCGUGAUUCAACAGUUCCCAUACAGUAACAAAACAAAGCCACGCCGCUGUAGGGUGUAUUGCCCAAGGAGGUUGUGGAUGCCCCAUCCCUGGAGGCAUUCAAGGCCAGGCUGGAUGUGGCUCUGGGCAGCCUGGUCUGGUAGUUGGUGACCCUGCACAUAGCAGAGGGGUUGUAAUUAGAUGAUCUUUGAGGUCCUUUUCAAUUCAGGCCAUUCUGUGAUUCUAUGAUUCUAUGAAAACAGCAAUGUGACAAAGCUUAUGAUACUAACCCAUUUAAAACUAGAUAAGGAAAGGAUUUCACAGUACUGUGUGCAGGGCAGUUGAGCACAGCAUAGUCCUGUCUCUGAUGUGCAGCAGAAAGCUCCAGAUAGCACAUUUCACACAGUGCCCCGGGCAGAGCAGCCUCGUGAAUGGUGGGGAAGGUGCUCCUCACCAGCGUGCUGGGAGGGUGAGUGGUGUGCUGUAGUCUCAUACUGUACUCUUCUGGAGAGACAUAAUGACAUGCUAGGAAUGUUUCCUUGUUAAAGAAAUAAUAAAAA
ensembl:lncRNA